GAAGAAGUAUUGGGAGAAAAAGUAUUUUAUUAGUCUUCUUUAUUUAUAUCAAGAAUAUUAUAAAGCUAAAAGACUUUGCUUUGUGGCCUUCACUCUUUAGGCCCUCUUCUCUUGAAAACAAAUUUGUCUUGAGUCUGGCAAAGAAGGCACCUGAUGAUAAAGAUGGAUGAUAAAUUCAUGAACCACCGACAACACUAGUAGAACAGGCUACAUUUGAUUCAUUCAAUAUUGGAGCUUUGCAUCAUGCUGUGGUUUGUUCAGUGGUGUGUUCUCAGAACAGGAUUUGUUUAUUUGGAAUAAUGAAGUUUGUCAGAAGUCGAACAGCCAAUUCCAUAUCAUUUCCUUGGGUGUUGGCAAAUCCCUCGACGUAUAAAAAAGUGCUAUGUUGAAUAGGCCAUGCAAAUCAAGAAAACAGUUAACUUAACAUCAACCGACCCUUGCCGAAGGGCGAGAGUGGCUUGGACGAUAUUAUUAAGCCGAAUUCACUCAGUUAAUCAGUUAAAGRCCUUUUGCUGCCAGAAUGAAAUAAGUUUUCACAGAAAUCGGGGAUGUCAAAAAGUAAAGGAAAUGAAGAUGGACCAAUAGAGAAAGAAAAGUACUAGGGAACAAAGAAAACAGCAUCACAGCCUCRACUACAGAAAAUGUUUAAGCUAAUCACUUACUAUGAAAUAAUACAGUUCAAAURAAGAU